CUCUCUCCUCACCGCUCUCGCUUUCUCCUCACCGCUUAGCCCUUUUCCUAUACUUCACGCUAGAAUACCUUUCACUUUCAGAAAUACCCUCCCACCACCGCUCUCACACACUCGAGCUCACUCUCUCGUCCCCCCUCUCACCCGCCCCUUCUCGCUCUCCUCCAGAUCCCCGUCGUCGCCGGCCUCUCCUCGCCGCCGUCACCGCCCUCUCCUCGACUCCCUUUCUCUUCACCACCACGCACCCCGUUUCCUCCUACCGCGCACCCCGUACCGUAGGUCAAAAGCUUGAUUUUUUAGGCGCCGGCGACGAGCUUCUGGGCGGCGGAGGCUGGAUCCGCGUGCGUCCACGCCGGCUUCGCAGCGGCGCUUGAUGUGGAGCGGCGCUGGAGCAGCGGAGCGGGGCUUUCUUCCUCACCUCACAGCGCCGUCCUCCUCCACGACCACGCAGCCGCAGCGGCGGAGGAGCCGAAUCCCUAGCCAGCGAGCUCAGGGAGCCAUGGGUCCAUGGGUACGAAUCCCUCCUCUUCUCUCUCUCUGACCCACCCCCGUCUCUUCUCCCUCCCUCUCUGACCCCCGUCUCCAUGACCAGGGCGACGCCAUGGAAGGGCCACCAAAUACAGCAGCGAGGAGAGGAGAAAGGGAGUAGCCUGAUGACGGUCGUCUUCCACCUCCGCCUACGCCCCCGCCCUCCACCUCCACCCACGCCCCCGCCGGAAAUAGUACAAUGGCCAAGGAAAUAGGCAGGAGGCGCCGCUUCCCGGAUGGACAUGGACAUGCUUCUCCAACUCUGCUUCUUCCUGGGUCGCCAUGGAAGGUACUCCAUGUUAUGCUCUGCUAUGCUCCAUGUUAUGCUUGCUGCAACUUACUGAUGCAUAAUUCAGUCAAGAUAAUGUUUGUGCAUAAUUCAGUCAAAUUCAGUUAAGGAUUUUGUUAGGAUUGUUACUGGAUCAUCCAUGGACUGAAUAAUUCAGUCAAAUUCAGCUAAGACAAUUCAGUCAAAUUCAGCUAAGAUCAUUCAUGGAAUUGUUCUUGCAAUCAAUCACGAGCUUCAUUCAUUCGUUCAUUCAGAGGGAUAAUUGUUUACAACCUGUGCAAAUUGUCCAUUUUUUGAUUUGGUAGCAUCACUCAGUCAUCCACCAUUACACUUUCCUUGUCCUGCCUUUUUGUUGUGAAUUGUGCAAGUUGUGCUUGCUUUAAAUUGCAGUAGGAAGAACUUGCUUUAACAGAAUUUGCUUGCAGCAGCAGUAGCUUGCAAUUUUGCUUGCUUGCACUGCUUGCAGUGCAGUGCACUGCUUGAGUAGUUCCCCCUACAGACUCUGUAGCAAGUGCAGUAGUGUCCUGUCUCCCUCUCUUCUUUUUCAGUACAGUAGGAGCAUUCUCUUAUCUGCUUUAACUGUAACUUUGUCUGAAACAUUUUUCUAUUAAUUAAAAUAAAUUCAAACCUUUUCCUUUAAUUAACUUAAACCUUUUAAUUUACUCCUCCAGUAGUAAUUAACUGAAACCUUUUGUGUAAACUCAAAUUAACUAAAACAUUUUUUGUUAAUAAAAAUAAACUGAAGCCUUUUCCUUUAAUUAACUUAAAUCUUUUCAGUUAAGGAGUACUCCUCCAGUAGUAUUGGUCAUUCAGGAGUAGUUAUAUCUGUCAUUCAGGAGUACUGUUAAUUAGGGAGGAGUAAAAUUAACUUGUACUUGCAGCAUAAGGCUAGCUAGAUGAGUAGUAUCAGUAUACGGUUAGGAUUAGGUUGUUUAUUUAGUGAGAUGAGGAUUAAACCUUUCCUGUUCGAUCUGCCAAUCCUGACCAAAUUUUGAAUUGUACACACCCACAAUGCAUUUCAACAAAGCAAAACACUAUGGCAGAAUCAUACAGAUUUAUGCAAGGUAACCUGACAUAAAAGUCAGUACUCUACAAUGGUGACAGUCAUACUGAUGUACCAUUUGUAAAAAUCGAAUGCAAAGCUUGGUCUGCAUCUUUUGGCAAAUAGCUUAAGGUUGAUGUUUCUAAUCCUGUACAUGGUACUUUGGAAUCACCUUCUGCAUUGAAUUUUGAGGCCUGAAAUUGAUGUUUAAGAACGUGUUAGAAAUUAAGGACAGCUGCGUGCUAAAUCUUAUCACAGAGGUACAGAAAAAAGCAGAUCAACAGAUUAUGUUCCUUUUCUUCAUAUCGAAGUAUCUGUCGCCUAGAAAAACUCAUCCUUUAAUAGUUGAGAUAGUAGAGAUAUGAGGAGAUCACUGAUGGCUUCAGUCAGCUUGGGUUCUUCAUUAAUUAUCAGAUACAUAGUUCCUUAUCCAUGUAUUUCUAACAAGAGAUUCUAUGCAAUUGAAGUUUAAGUCAGUUUUUAUAUUGCUAUAUAUGAUAUUAGAUGCCACAGGUUUUUACCAUAUUAAAAAACAUAUGCAUUAGAAAGAAAUACGGCACCUUAGUAUUUUUGUUCUUCUUUAGCAAGUCACCGUCCAAACAUCUUCCUCCUGCAUCUGUUUGAAAUUUCACGCUGUCUCUUGUUAUUUCCAGCUUAAACAGGUAUAGUACCACGUUCGUUUAACAAAUGUAUAAAUGCAAAGUGAAAAAAUAUCGUGUGUAAGGGCGAUACCGAUUGAGGUUUCCAAUUGUUGUACUGGCUGAAAGGCCGUGAGAUUGCCUGCUAUAGGAACCAUCAUAGGCAGUUGCGUGGGCACACUGUCAUCAUCAUCGGAAGAUAAACACUGUAGUUAGUAGCGCCCGCUGGUUCGCGUAUGAAAAAAGCAGAUGGUGGCCGGUGUGUAUUCCUGGGUUGUGAUCUCGGUGUCCUCUGAUAUUCAACAAGUGAUAAUUAAGAUUAAUAUAGGAUAAGUUAUGAAAGGUUAUUGAAUACUUUAUGUGCAGACAUGUGAUUUGCAUACACAUACCUUUUUUCCCUUUAUCAUAGAGAUGCCCUCUGUCCUGUGACAUCUUUGUGUCGUAUAGAAGCUUUAUGUUCUGAACUAAACCUGCAGUCUUUAUAUGAUUAUAUUAUCAACAAUAAUAUGUAGAUAGUGACAAGAAAAAGCUAACAAAGUAUGAUGUUCUACUGUAGGUAGUGACAAGGCUAUUAUUACUGCCAAAAAAACAGAGAUAUUGUCUUUUAACCUGAGCAUAUUGCUGUUGUCUUUUAACCUGGGCAUGUUGCGCCAAAAAAAACAGAGAUGUUGUCUUUUAACCUGGGCAUCUUGCUCUUGUCUAAUAGUGCAGAUUAGAGAUUUGUUCAAUAAAUAUUAUCUUUACCAUACCAUUUUCUCUUCUAUACAGAAAGCAGUAAGAAUCUAAGAAAGCCGAAGCCUUCCAGCACACUGCAGCAAUAAGAAGAGCGCAAGUCGAACAGGGACACAGCUCACACACUACGGUGGACAGAAAGGUAUUUAACUGUUGGUACAAAGUUGGUUGGAGAUACCUCUGUCCUGUGAUGCUUUUUCAAUGUAGUUGGAGUUCAAGUUAAAGAUGCAUUCUGAGUAGUACUGUAAUAUGCAGGUAACUACAUUGCUGAAACAGUUGAUGAUGGCAAACCUAGGGCAUGAUGGUCACCGAACAAAGGUGGAUCUCCGUCCUUUGCAGCAACAGCCGUCGCCUCGCAACAGCCGUCGAGCGAAGGUUGUGGUUCGGACGCCGAGGUUGCGGUGCAGUUGUGCUGAUCGCACAGCUGGCCUCGCGUGUGAACAACGAUGUGGACUGACGGCUGACUGAAGUGCCGUUUCUCUUCUCGGCGCAUGCGCGGGUCGGGUCGAUGGAGCUGGUGCGUGAGGAAGAACUGGCGUCGAUGGAGCUCGUAUGCGAGGAAGAACCGGCGUUUCUGUCCCUGGUGGCGACGUGCGUUGGCGGGUCGAUGGAGCUAGUUCGAUGGUUUGAUUUUUGGUCGAUGGACCUCGUUCGUGGGUUGCCGAACUGUUUUGUUUGUUGGCUGGGCAUGUGAUCGUGGGGUUUGGCUCGUUUGACGGUGGUCCAUGGGCUGAAUAUCGGAUGAGUUGCCCUUGAUUUUUUGGGCUUGCGGGCUGGAUUUUGUGUGGAGGUGUGGGACACCGCGCGAUGGCUGUCUUACAGGCGGAGGAUCGAACGAGGUGGUCGAACCACGAGGAGAGGUCGAACCAACACGACGUUCGAUCCCCUUUAAUAGUAGAGAUACUCGAGAUAAAACAUAAACCCAGAUCAAAGCUGUUGUUCA
rnacentral:lncRNA from 1 species